rnacentral:rRNA from 1 species
GGCCUCGCCUGCCCAGUGACUUACGUUCAACGGCCGCGGUAUUUUGACCGUGCAAAGGUAGCGCAAUAACUUGUCUUUUAAAUGAAGACUAGUAUGAAUGGCAUCACGAGGGCUUAUCUGUCUCCUUUUUUAGGUCAAUGAAAUUGAUCUCCCCGUGCAAAAGCGGGGAUGCCCACAUAAGACGAGAAGACCCUGUGGAGCUUUAGACACCAAGACAGCUCACGUUAAAAGUACCUCAACAAAAGGUUAAAACUAAAAGAAACCUGCUCUGAUGUCUUUGGUUGGGGCGACCGCGGAGAACAAAAAAACCUCCCCUCCGCGUGGAACGGGGGCAAUUUUACCUAGCCCCUACAACCAAGAGUUACAACUCGAACUAACAGAACUUUCUGACCACUAAGAUCCGGCUCUAAGCCGAUCAACGAACCGAGUUACCCCAGGGAUAACAGCGCAAUCCCCUUUUAGAGUCCAUAUCGACAAGGUGGUUUACGACCUCGAUGUUGGAUCAGGACAUCCUAAUGGUGCAGCCGCUAUUAAGGGUUCG